AUGGCCCUGCUCUUGAAAAUGAGGUAGUGAAAGAAAUUGUUUCUUCAUUGGACUUUGGAUUUAUUCCCUACACUAGAAAAAAAAAAGGGAGGUAUGAGGAAGAAGCAUCAUGCAAGUGGAAAGCUGUUGCUAUCUGUACUCUUAUUCAGUAAAUGGUCAAAAGAGUGUCACAUGCUAACUAAUCCUAAAAAUAUAUUGAUUGCGCUCCACAGUCUCAAGUACAUAUUUUUGAAAUUGGAGUCAUCCUUGGUUCCUGAGAAGAAUUUAAUUGCAUUGUGAUCUUGUGUAGGACCUGUUGGCAGAAAUACUUUUGUAUAAUUAGGCUUGUAAUAGGAUCGUCACUUAUGGUUAUGAGCUUGAUAUAAGAAUUUUUUUUGAAAAACUUGACAUUUUGUUGCAAAUACGGAUGAGGAUAACUACAUGCCUUCUAAACAAUCCAGAGCUGAUUUUAGGCCUCCCACCACAGCAAGAAAUGACGAGGAUACUGAUGCAAUGCAAAGUUCACUAGGUAGAUCACCGCGAGGACACUCAAAGAGAGGAUGUGCCUAUGACAGAUCAGACUGAUUAUGAACAAUACGAGGAUGAAAUGGAUGAAGAAGGUGAAUUUGAGAUGUAUCGUGUCCAAGGAACUUUAAGGGAGUGGGUUACUAGGGAUGAAGUGCGUCGCUUCAUUGCUAAGAAGUUCAAGGAGAUUUACUAACAUAUCACAAAUCAAAUAAUGACGAGGAUAUAGUCUAUGUGAGGCAGAUAAAUGAGAUGGUCUUGGGUAAAUCUCUUUAGGCAUCUUCUUUUAGUUUUGAAACUUUCAGAAUCCUACCAUUUCACAUCCUUCUUUUCUGUUAUUUACUCACUUUCCAAAAUGGAUUGAUCUUGUGCUUUUCUUUGCUGGCUGACUUUGUAUGUAGCUAAUAAGUGUAGUCUGGAGAUUGAUUACAAACAAUUCAUAUAUGUCCACCUGAACAUUGCGAUCUGGCUAGUUGAUGCACCUCAGUCUGUGCUGGAGGUUAUGGAAGAAGUUGCUAAAAUCGUUGUGUUUGAA